rnacentral:rRNA from 1 species
GACGAACGCUGGCGGCGUGCUUAACACAUGCAAGUCGAACGGAAAGGCCCUGCUUUUGUGGGGUGCUCGAGUGGCGAACGGGUGAGUCACACGUGAGUAACCUGCCCUUGACUUUGGGAUAACUUCAGGAAACUGGGGCUCAUACCGGAUAGGAGAUCCUGCUGCAUGGUGGUGGUUGGAAAGUUUCGGCGGUUGGGGAUGGACUCGCGGCUUAUCAGCUUGUUGGUUGGGUAGUGGCUUACCAAGGCUUUGACGGGUAGCCGGCCUGAGAGGGUCACCGGCAAAAUGGGGACUGAGAUACGGCCCAGACUCCUACGGGAGGCAGCAGUGGGGAAGAUUGCACAAUGGGCGGAAGCCUGAUGCAGCAACGCCGCGUGCGGGAUGACGGCCUUCUGGUUGUAAACCGCUUUCGCCUGUGACGAAGCGUGAGUGACGGUAAUAGGUAAAGAAGCACCGGCUAACUACGUG